GAAAAUUGUCACAAGUAGCCGCUGAAAAUCAUGAAGACAGCUUGAAAUCAUGAAGACAUCGCCCACGCCGUCUCAUGAUUAAAUGAUAACAGUGCAUAUAUAAAGAGAUUUUUCUCCACUGUUAGACAAUUCAUAAUUUCCCAUUCCAGCAACAUGUAUUCCACAACUGUGAAAAUUGUCGUCUGCGUCGUGUUGGUCAGUGUGGCAAUCUCCGAAGAUUGUCAGGUGACUUCUGACUGUAGUCAUGUGACCUGUCCGUAACGUGAGUAUGUGCUUACAUGUGAUAAUAGAAUCUGUAGCUGCGUGCUAACCACGCAACAUUCUUGUUUGUCACCGACCGACUGCCAGAACUCAGCUCCCGGAAGUAACAAUUUCUGCGACCGCGACUUCCAUUGUGUAGACGGUACAUGCAGGUGUGGUCACGGGUUUGGGCCUGCACCAGGAGGUGGUGAUCAUCACCCAGGUGGCGGUCCAGGACCAGUCGGCAAAUAAACCUCUAGACAUAAUUUGCCAUGACGUCAUUUAUAUGCUUGAUAUUCAAUUUGAAUCAAUAAAAGAUCAAAUAUAGUAUUUGAAAUAUUUAAAA